AGUCAUAAUAGAAAUUAUGGUAAAACUAAUUCCUUCACAAAUGUUUUCACGAUUAAAUAAAAGAUAAACAUUAUCUACAUUUUGAGAAAAAAAUCCUCAAAAAAUCUCCUUGCAGAAGCCUGAAAAAUCGAUCAUAAAGAUUUAGUAAAAAUCGAUAUUUAAAUGUGUCUCUUAAAUUACACCAUACUUUAAUGUUAUGCACGUUCGGUGACGUCACGUUUAUUAUUAUUUUGUUGAAAGAUCUGAAGUUACUACAAUUCCAGCAUUCCUAGUGCAAAGAGGAAGGGCUAAACAUAGUAUUGGAUGGUUGAUUGCAGAAGACAAUAUUUAGCGAGAGUCCAGCCUUUUAUAUUUUAGCGAACAUUAAUCAAUCCGUUGAUUGGAUGUGGCAAGAGUUUUCCAUAUUUCCAAGUUAGGAGCAUCCUCGGUAGCCCAAGCUAUUUACCGUAUACAUGUAAUAAAUGUAGUAUACCGUGGGUUCCGCCGAUGAGUUAGGAGAGGCUAAAUGGGCUCUGUUUGAAAAGAUCCAGCAUUUUUGAAAAGCAAUUAAUAGAUGCGAAACAAUGUGUCUCUGUGAAAAGGGCAGGCUAAAGGUUUCAACAGCACCGGCCGAAAAAAUGAAUAUAAUUUCAGCAUUGAACAAGGGCAGGGCAAUAUGUAUAUAUACAUGUGUAGCCUUGUCAUACUAUAUGGAUAGUCGGGCCUCGGUGACAAAAAGUGAUGAAAUAACAUUGUGUUUUUUCAGUGUCUUAACAUUCAGAAUAUACAUUUUAUUUUAAAAUGUCUUUUUACCAUAUAUUUUUAACAAAAAUUCUAUGAUAAAGUAAGUGCAAUUUAGCAUUGGUAAGAUAUUUACUAGAAGGAUUGAUUUUCAGAAUAGAAAUGCAAAUACAAUGUAUACAUAUAAAUAAUAAUUAUUCGUGUAAAAUGUAUUGCAAUUUUGAAUGAUAAAAUGAAUUUAGGUAGAUUCAUACAACUUUAUUCUUGGUAGAGCUAACUUGUAAGAAUAUUAAAUGGAAUCUGACUUAAAGUAAAAAAAAUAUUUUAUCAUUAGUGGGUGGGGUAAUGUUUUAUACCAGUCUAAAUGAUGAUUUAUAGAUUAUGCAGUGUUGCGACUUUUUGAAUGUAAUGAACAUUUGUUGAAGUGUUUUAGAUUAAAUAAAGCAUGUUUUUGUA